GUGCUCAACUUGGCAGCACAUAGACUAAAAUUGGAGCAAUACAGAGAAGACUAGUAUGGCCCCUGCAAAAGGAUGGCAUUCAAAUUCCUGAAGCGUUCCAUAUUUUU
ensembl:snRNA U6 U6 spliceosomal RNA